GGCAUCGUAAAACGUUAAUAAUAACAAAAGGCAGCAACAAAAGCGUGUGACAGGGAUGGCAACAACCUGUUUCCAAGCAGCUUCUGCUUCUGCUUUUGUUAAUGUUUUUUUCACUCUUCUCUGAUUUUCGCUUGGCUGAGUUGCCAUUUGAUUUCGGUGCGUUUUUUGAAGGUCAACUUUUGGUUUAUUUAUUUUAAUUUUUUUUGUGUGCGCUUCCUCCCCACACACCGUUCGAAACGCUCUGCCAGUGUGUGUGGGGUUUAAUGAGCCAUUUGCAUGGAAUGAAGAGGGUUUAACGGUUUAAGCCCAGAAAUAUCUGCAUACAAAAAAUGUGUACCCAUCAGCCCAUGCGCUCGAAGCGGAUCGGAUGGCUCUCCAAAAGUACAAAAACAUGUCCAACAAAUGCCGCUACAAGCAACAGAACAGGAAAAUAUUGAAACAUGGAAUGGGCAGGGCUGAGGGAAUAAUAAAU
rnacentral:lncRNA from 1 species